UGUCCCCACUGGUGAUGCCACUGAUGGCUUCUGCAGGUGCUUGCCAGUCCCAUCCCUGCCACCGGUGGCUUUUGGACGUACCCCCCCAGACUCAGGAGGCACAAGUCUCCCAUGGCCCAAAGUCCAAGCAUGAACAAACAAAAGAGUAAUUUCAAACUCUUAUCUCUAUCCUUACCUCCACCAACUUGCCAGGGUGGAAGCAGUUAGUGCAGGUUAGUACAGGUGCUAACCCAGUAGCUUUAGGACACUGAAGAGCUGUAUGACUGUGACCAUAAAAUCUAACAGCCAAGAACAGAGAACUCCCCACCACCACCACCACCUUCAUAAUAUUAUGAUCCAGCAUUGCAGUAGCCACCUAACAGUAGAUUGCCUUCGUGAGUUCAUAAAGUUUUAGUCUGCAGUUAGUGAUCAUUUUCAUCUUUAAAAAAGGGCCAGAUAUGGUGAUUGAAAUUAAGACUAAAUACAUUUCAGUAAUGUAAGAGUAAAAAAAUUCUGCCGCAAAGAUACUUUUCCUGGUCUGUUGCUUUGAUCAUACAGUCCCUCCAUUGGUUUUUCUUCAUCACAUGAAACAAAAGUUAUUGGUUUUCACUUUCAUGGUUAUUCACUGCCUCUUCUUAGCAUACCUGUUCUCUCUCAUUUGCUACUGAGAGGUUGACUCCAUCAGUUCAUAAUGCCAGUGUCUAUCACCUAACUGUUAUGUUUUCAAACAAGCAUCUGUGUUUUUUCCUGUGCUGACCCUCUUGCUUUGGCAAGCUACACAUAAACAUCCACAAAGCUGUCCUCUUUUUAAUUAUUCCUUUAAAGAAUCUGUUUUUUUGUGGUUCCACAAAAUGGUUGACAGUAAUUAGAUCAAGACCCCUGUCUGUUAUACUGACAUGAUACUGUCUCAUUGUUUCCUUAUACUUCCAUAUUCUCUUUCAUUUAAUGUAUAUGCUGUCAUUUUUCAUGUACCCAGAUGGUAAGCCUUUUUGUUUUGUAUUGUAUGAUUCCUAAAAAGAAAAGACCUGGUCCAUGGCUAGUGUUAUGGUAAUAUAUUUAAUAAUUAUUGCAGGGAUGGUCUAACAAUCCCAACAUCAAGCAUGAACCUAGAAAAUACAGAGUGAAGGUGAAUCUUAAGUCAAGCACAUUAAACACAAAACCAGCUUCACAUCUCAGUAGUAAUGAAGUAAUCAUACUAUAAUCAUACAGCAAGUAUAUCAUAUUUUUAUAACCCUAAAUUUAAUUAUACUGGUUCAGUUUUUUAUUUUUUUCCUGAUGUCACUACAGGGUAGAAUUAAGUUUGGCUGACCAAGUAUGGCAUUUUAAAACUUUAUUGUGUCAGGAUAUCGCCUUACACCCUGUUAUUUGGAAACAAAAUAUUAAUAUUUUAGAGGCUUUUAUUUAUAAAUAAAUCAAAAAAUUUGAAACUGUGGAAUGAAAAGGACUUUCUUGCAGGCUUCUGGUAACUGGUUGCUGAAGGAUACAUGUGGGAGGUAGAAAGAAAACAAUUUAAAAUAAAAAGGUUAGGCUUUUGUUUUAUUUGUUUUGUUUGGUCAUAAAGUUCUAGGCUUGUUUGACAGUAAUUGUGACUCAGCUAUCACUGUGUGUAGGUAAGAGCUUUUAAAACCUUAGUAUUUUCUGGUCUUUUUCUUAGGUUCUUAUGGCUGUGUAUCAUUUGCAGCUAUCAGUAAGGAUUCAGUAAAAUCAUGUUUGUACUAUUCAGUCAUUCUAAAGCAUUUUUAGGUAGGUAUUGGCGGAAGCACAGGUGUCAGCAAACUAGGUCAAUGAGAGAACCCAGCUUUCCUUGGAGCCUAUAUCACCCUAAUUUAUGCAGGAAUAUUGGGAAGACUUACAAAAUGCGAACUAAUACCUAAAUUACAUAUGCUUACUUAUAUUAGAAGAGCAACAUUUGUUUUUCUUGUCUUCAGAUAGAAGCUGCUUGAAGCCUUGGAAACAUAAAGCUAUACAGUUUGUGUGAGUUUUUCUCUCUGUGGAUUUAACAAGGCUAGCUGCCAAUAUGUGCUGCCCUUGCUUUACUCAAAUCAUUUUCUAGAUCACUGGGAUGGAAUUUAAUUUUGUUAUACCAGAAGUUGCCAAUACUAUGUUACUAUUGGAAUUUUCACAAAUUAAUAUCAUGUUACUCUCUCAGUGUUUUCUCACCUCCUCAUCAUACUUCUGAUUACUAGUGUAGAACACAACUUUUUCUUACUUCAACAGGAAAGUUAAAGGUCCUGUAAUAUCAGUCAGGCAUCACUCUUAUACUCUCCAAUUUUAUUAAUUUGUUUAGGGUCAACCUGGCCCAAGUAAGAGAUGUUCCCAGCAAUGCAGUCAUGCUCUUUUCCACUCAGUGCAGAGGGAAUUCAGGCUCCUUCUUCUUCUUUAAAGUGUACUAGGUAAGCAGUUCCUGCUGGCCCUUGAGCAGAGGGGUUGCAGGUAUAGCUGUCUUUCUGUUGCAGUUAUGACAGUUCUUUUCACACAUGCAUUCUACCCCACUAUUGUAAAAUGUCCAAGAAUAUGAAACCAUUAUUUUUCAGUAUAAUUUCCACGAAUGACUGUUAUUUCUACAAGGUACAGUAAUUUAGAAAUGACUGGUGUUGUAGGAGUUUUACACAUUGAUCCAAAAGGCAGAGCUAUUAACAUAAUCUGUUGCUGAACUACCAAAAGGCAAAUAACAGAGCUCCUGAGGAUGUCCAUGAUGAGAUGUCAUAAAGAGCAAGAAUAUUAGCUGUAUGAAGACAUGAUCUGAAAACUAAGCAUCUGAGAAGCUAAAAUUCUGUUAAAACUAGUCAUGGAAUAAAUGCAACUGGAUACAAUAUUGUGGGAGUUGUUAAUCAAUCGAGCCUUUUUUUUAGUCUGUGCCAUCUGCUAUCCUUCCCAUGCUUGUUUGUUCUUGUCAGUGAUAUACUGAAAGACAAGAAAGAAAUAAGCCUUGUUAAGUGUCGUCACGGCCCUGGAAAAGGCCACGGGCUCAGUGGUCUGGUGCUUACCCGGACCAGAAUGUUGAUCACGUGUUCAUUUGCUUUAACCUCACUGUGGAAAUACCCGACUCUUGCCUGCUACAUUUUGAUGUUUCAGUGAUGUUUUAGAUUGGGAGGUAUUAGUCUUCACUGUAGCUGGCUGAGGCCAAUCUGGAUAGGGACUUCGUCUGGGGCUCUAACCUCCCCUACAUCCCGUCCUAGCACCAACCAAAUGUUACACCACCAAAUUACACUGGUAGAUCUUGAUGGGUGGUCUUGUCUAGACUCUUUUUUUUCUUGUAGACUCACAAGUGUUUCAAAAGAAAGCUUCAACUGAACCAAAAGAAGAUAACUCCAGGACCUUCUUUCCAGUCCCAGCCAGCAUCCCCCGGCUCAACAGAGCCCAGCUGGACUCUCCUGCCGGCCUGCAGCCAACUCCCUGGGGCUUGGAUCCUUCUGCCGGACGUCUCAUGGUUAAGGACUCAGCUCCCCUCUCACUGGCUGUCUCCAUGCUUUCCUCUCCCCUUCUGGCGUGUGUCCCCAGCCUGUGCAACUCCGGGGCUGCUCUACCUGAAUGGAGGAACCAUGGUUCUUGUGGCAUUCUCUUUUUUGGCACUGUAGUCUCUCCCGCUGUGGUGAGUUUAACCAGUUUUUCCUUUCUUCCUUCACAUUAAGCACUACUGCUCCGUAGUCUAAAUCAACUCAUGCUUUUGAAAUAUGCAUAAAAAGUAUCUGUAUGAACUUGGAAUAAAAACAUUCCAGGGGUACUAUAUCAACUCAUUGUGCCAAAAUAUAACUUUUAAAAUU